GGGAAUGAAAUUUGCUGAAUCUUGUACUUUCACCAUCUAUUGAAGAAAAUUCCAAUAAAUACUCAUCAAAUAUUCCCAAAGGAGACUUUUCAGUGAGAAGUCACACCAUUUAUUAAACUUGAUAUAUGCCAAGUGUUUGCAUCCUCACAAGAAUCAUGCAAGUCUAUACACAUGAGCCAGAAGAGGCAGCCACAUUUGGAGAUACAAGCAAGAGCGAAGUACUGGAGUGGCUUUACUAAGUCGAACCCUCUUCUUGGUCCCUUGAGCAUCUUUAAUGGGUCUUUGGAACAUGUGACAUCUUUCUUUCAGUGGAGAGUGUUGCUCUUAAAGGAGGAGAAUUAAGGAGGAGCGACAUUCCUGUCUGGUCUCACUCUGUUGCUCAGGCUGGAGUCCAGUGGAGCCAUUACAGCUCACUGAAGCCUUGACCUGCAGGGCUCAGGUGAUCCUCUCACCUCAGCCUCACCAAUAGCAGGAGAUUGUCUGACACACCCUAUGCCACUGAUACAAUAAAAACAUCACCAGUGGAGCAGGACCCUGAAUCUUCAUGAUACUUACCUCCUAUGCUCCAAUAGGCAUGUGUCAUAAGAGGGCUCUAGGAUAAACUGGACAGCCAUUAGGAGACAAUAUGAGGUGGAGUGGAUCACCUAAGAAAAAAUGUGAAGGAUAUUUUGAAGCUAUUUGUUAAGUGUUUGGACCCUUGAAUUUAGACUGUUGACUGAAAUAAGGAAAACCUGGGCUGUGCCCCCACCCCACCCCACACACAAUUUGGACAAGAAGAAAAAGAACUCACUUGA